AAGUUGACGGGGGCCCGCACAAGCGGAGGAACAUGUGGUUUAAUUCGAUGAUACGCGAGGAACCUUUACCUGGGCUUAAAUGUAGAGUGCAUUCCCGAGAAUCGGGAUUUUCUUCGGAACUCUUUGCAAGGUGCUGCAUGGUUGUCGUCAGCUCGUGCCGUGAGGUGUCGGGUUAAGUCCCAUAACGAGCGCAACCCUUAUCGUUAGUUGCCAGCGGGUAAUGCCGGGAACUCUAGCGAAACUGCCGGUGUAAACCGUGAGGAAGUGGGGAUGACGUCAAAUCAGCAGGCCCUUAUGUCCAGGGCUACACACGUGUUACAAUGGCCGGUACAGAGGGCAGCUACCUGGAGACAGGAUGCGAAUCUCCAAAGCCGGUCUCAGUUCGGAUCGGAGUCUGCAACUCGACUCCGUGAAGCUGGAUUCGCUAGUAAUCGCGCAUCAGCCAUGGCGCGGUGAAUACGUUCCCGGGCCUU
rnacentral:rRNA from 1 species